CCUACGGGUGGCAGCAGUGGGGAAUAUUGCACAAUGGGCGAAAGCCUGAUGCAGCAACGCCGCGUGAGCGAUGAAGGCCUUCGGGUCGUAAAGCUCUGUCCUCAAGGACGAUAAUGAAGGUACUUGAGGAGGAAGCCCCGGCUAACUACGUGCCAGCAGCCGCGGUAAUACGUAGGGGGCGAGCGUUCUCCGGAAUUACCGGGGGAAAAGGUAGCGUCGGUGGUUGCUUAAGUCAGAGGUGAAAGGCUAAGGCUCAACCGUAGUAAGCCUUUGAAACUGGGGAACUUGAGUGCAGGAGAGGAGAGUGGAAUUCCUAGUGUAGCGGUGAAAUGCGUGGAUAUUAGGAGGAACACCAGUUGCGAAGGCGGCUCUCUGGACUGUAACUGACACUGAGGCACGAAAGCGUGGGGAGCAAACAGGAUUAGAUACCCCUGUAGUC
rnacentral:rRNA from 1 species